AGCAGACUCUAAUUACUAAAAAAAAUAUAUGAACAACCAUUAAAAGGAAUUUAGACACGGCAUAUUUGUACUUGGAAAAAAAUAAUUAUAAGGUAUUCUACUUUUGCUGGAAAGAAAACUAAACUUUUUCAAAACAUGCUUCUUUGUAAGCGUUUCUCACAUAAUGUGCUUAAAAAGUGCAUUAGGAAGAAAUGCACAGCGGGAGUUUUCAAGUAAAGUAUAAAAUGAGGGCAUUUGCAUGAGCUGUGGGGAUAAUAAGCUCACAAGUAAAGUAAAGAUAGCACACACUGGGAUUUUCUAUAAAUUACCAAAAUAAUGGAAGCAGAUUUGAUUUCUUUUUUUUUCCCUUUAAUUAACAGUAACAUUUUCCAGAAUCUAGGUUUUGUAUAAAAAUACAAUUCACAAUUUGUGUGACCGCAGCCACCCCCAACCACUUCAGAACCUGUUGUGAAAAUGAGAGGGUCUUUUAGCCCUUUUAUUUAUUGAUUUAUUUAUUUUUUAGCCUCUACACUGCUGCACAUGAUGUGAGUCUUGGGAAGAGACACAUGUGGCUGCUUCCUGCUUUAGCAAGGGACCACCAGGCCCCGAUUCUCUAUUUAUGAUAUUCAGAACUGUUUGCUCAAUGUUGAAGCUUCUAAUCUGUUAUCUCUGACUGGAGCAACAUACCUGGUUUCAUUUGAGUUAGUUAUACGCUAGUGAUUAGUGUACAGGUGACAUAUACCACACUCGUAAUAGUGAUUUCACACUUUUCAAGCUCUUGAGGGUGGAACAAUUUUCUUAACAAUUAAAGUGCCUUUCAUGUUAUAAAGAAAUGCGAGAGGGAUAUUUGUUAAUAAAUGAUCUUGAG